rnacentral:rRNA from 1 species
AGCUCCAAUAGCGUAUCUUAAUGUUGUUGCAGUUAAAAAGCUCGUAGUCGAAUUUCUGGCCGGGGAAGUCACGCCUCGCGUGUUCGGACCUAGGUCAUCCGGUUGAAAACUCUGAUGGUGUUUUAUCGCUCCUCUUUGGGAUCAGCCACUUUACUUUGAAGAAAUUAGAGUGUUUCAGGCAGGCUUUCGCUUGAAUACACCAGCAUGGAAUAAUGGAAUAGGACUACAAUCCUUUAAUGGUUGAUGACUGUAGUAAUGAUUAAUAGGGACAGUUGGGGGCAUUCGUACUACAGAGUCAGAGGUGAAAUUCUUCGAUUUCUGUAAGACGAACUAAUGCGAAGGCAUCUGCCAAGGAUGUUUUCA